rnacentral:rRNA from 1 species
AGAGUUUGAUCCUGGCUCAGGACGAACGCUGGCGGCGUGCUUAGCACAUGCAAGUCGAACGAGGCAGCGGCCUUCGGGCCGUUGUCGAGUGGCGAACGGGUGAGUAACACGUGAGGAACCUGCCCCGGAGACCGGGACAACCAGGGGAAACCCUGGCUAAUACCGGAUAUCCCCGGAUGGCCGCAUGGCCAACCGAGGAAAUGCUCAGGUGCUCCGGGAGGGCCUCGCGGCCUAUCAGCUUGUUGGUGGGGUAACGGCCUACCAAGGCAUCGACGGGUAGCUGGUCUGAGAGGACGAUCAGCCACACUGGGACUGAGACACGGCCCAGACUCCUACGGGAGGCAGCAGUGGGGAAUAUUGCGCAAUGGGCGAAAGCCUGACGCAGCAACGCCGCGUGGGGGAUGACGGCCUUCGGGUUGUAAACCCCUUUCAGCGGKGACGAAAAUGACGGUACCUGCAGAAGAAGCCCCGGCCAACUACGUGCCAGCAGCCGCGGUAACACGUASGGGGCAAGCGUUGUCCGGAUUUAUUGGGCGUAAAGAGCUCGUAGGCGGUUGCGUAAGUCGGAUGUGAAAACUCAGGGCUCAACCCGGAGACGCCAUUCGAUACUGCGCUGACUAGAGUCCGGUAGGGGAGCAUGGAAUUCCUGGUGUAGCGGUGAAAUGCGCAGAUAUCAGGAGGAACACCAGCGGCGAACGCGGUGCUCUGGGCCGGAACUGACGCUGAGGAGCGAAAGCGUGGGUAGCGAACAGGAUUAGAUACCCUGGUAGUCCACGCCGUAAACGUUGGGCACUAGGUGUGGGGCCUACUUAACGGGUUCCRUGCCGUAGCUAACGCAUUAAGUGCCCCGCCUGGAGAGUACGGCCGCAAGGCUAAACUCAAAGGAAUUGACGGGGGCCGCACAAGCGGCGGAGCAUGUUGCUUAAUUCGAAGCAACGCGAAGAACUUACCUGGUUUGACAUGCACGGAAAAGCCAUAUAGAUAUGGUGUCUUCGGGCUGUGCGCAGGUGGUGCAUGCUGUCGUCAGCUCGUGUCGUGAGAUGUUGGCUA